GGUAGGUACGUUGAAGGCAUCAGUUCCCGAUGGAUCGCUGAAGUUAAGCUACGUUGCGCGUGGUUGGUAACCGGAUAGGUGACCACCUGGGCAAUCGCCCACUCAACCU
rnacentral:rRNA from 1 species